GAUGAACGCUGGCGGCGCGCCUAACACAUGCAAGUCGAACGAUUAAAGCACCUUCGGGUGUGUAUAAAGUGGCGAACGGCUGAGUAACACGUGGGCAACCUGCCCCUCUCAUUGGGAUAGCCACGGGAAACCGUGGAUAAUACCGAAUACUUCGGGACUUCCGCAUGGAAGACUCGAGAAAGCUCCGGCGGAGAGGGAUGGGCCCGCGGCCUGUUAGCUUGUUGGUGGGGUAAUGGCCUACCAAGGCAAUGAUGGGUAGCUGGGUUGAGAGACCGACCAGCCAGAUGGGGACUGAGACACGGCCCAGACUCCUACGGGAGGCAGCAGUGGGGAAUCUUGCACAAUGGGCGAAAGCCUGAUGCAGCGACGCCGCGUGCGGGAUGAAGGCCUUCGGGUUGUAACCGCUUGCAGCAGGGACGAGGCGAAAGUGACGGUACCUGCAGAAGAAGCCCCGGCUAACUACGUG
rnacentral:rRNA from 1 species